CACGCUGUAAACGAUGUCUACUGGCCGUUGGCCUCCUUGAGGGGUUAGUGGCGCAGCUAACGCGAUAAGUAGACCGCCUGGGGAGUACGGCCGCAAGGUUAAAACUCAAAUGAAUUGACGGGGGCCCGCACAAGCGGUGGAGCAUGUGGUUUAAUUCGACGCAACGCGAAGAACCUUACCUACUCUUGACAUCCUGCGAAGCCUGUAGAGAUAUGGGUGUGCCUUCGGGAGCGCAGAGACAGGUGC
rnacentral:rRNA from 1 species